GUGAUGACAGCAUAGCUGGCCUUGUAAUUGUGAAGAAUCACACGAAGAUUGGCAGAUGUCCUUCAGAUGGAUGGUUUGUACAGAAAUAUUGAACAAGACUUAUUCAUUGAGCAUGUGCUGUGGUGCCAGCAGUGGAUCGGGCCAGAAAGGAAGUUCCGAGAAACAACCGUGAGUUCGUAGAUCGCCUUCAGUUCUUAAUGCAGCUACUUCCACGAGUCUGAUAUGGAAAGUGUCUGAUAUGGAAGAUGGCCAGUCUUCAGUGCUCCCUGGGAGAGAAGAAAAGAAGGGAAAAGAAAAAAGACAAAAAUGAAAAGGUCAUUUUAAGAGGUUAACUUGAAGAUAAGGGAGGAAAUGUAUAGGAGAAAGAAAGAGAAAGUAGAAUUUGCCAUAAACGACACCACCAACAUUAGCCAAAGUUUUCCAAGGUCUCCUACGUCCUAUGGCUCAGACAAGUGUUCAAGACAGUAGAAUCUUCAGGGAAUAUGAACUUUGAUUUAAAUGGCAGCUUCCCCACUGUCUUGCUUUAUAGCCUCAGUCAAGGCAAACUACAUGAAGGGUCUCCUCAAUGAGCUUGCACUUAAAAUGUGUGAGAAUUUGUGAAAAUGAAAUAUUUCAGUCCCAGUACAAGUUUUGCACAUCUUUUCCUCUGAGCCUGUAGCA